rnacentral:rRNA from 1 species
UACGGAGGGUGCAAGCGUUGUCCGGAAUCACUGGGCGUAAAGGGCGCGUAGGCGGCUCAUGAAGGCUGUGGUGAAAGUCCGGGGCUCAACCUCGGAUCGGCCGUGGCGACUCGUGGGCUGGAGCACUGUAGAGGCGGGUGGAAUUCCGGGUGUAGCGGUGGAAUGCGUAGAGAUCCGGGAGAACACCAGUGGCGAAGGCGGCCCGCUGGGCAGUGGCUGACGCUGAGGCGCGACAGCGUGGGGAGCAAACAGG